ACACCGAUACUUGCAUUUGCAAUCCUUACUGAAUUAGGGGCACUUUUCAGCAUCAGUCAGUAGAGCAUUGCGAUCUUAUUUUCCUGACUGUCUGAGCAGGGUGGUGGCGUGUCUGCCUUCGCAGUUUUGCCGGGUUUGCAUUGCAAUCACAUCGCUGGUGGCAGUUAGCAUACUGGACGGACUCGCCCUGUGCUGGGCGGACCCCAUGUAAUCUGUGGAUUCUACAUGGACAAGUGGACAUGAAUCGCAGCGUUGGAGGUAGAUCCUAUUUUGAUUUCCGAUGGCCUUCACAGAUGGAGAAGUGGGCUUGUGCUAGUCGGAGGCAAUAUGGCAAGUAGUUGCCGAAGCAACAUGCCGAAUCUACUUGUUCUGCCAUUAGUUGCAGGUGGGUAGUUCAGCUUCAGAAGGACGUACCGAGAAGAUAGGGGAAACUAAACUGAAGGAGAGAGGGUAAUAACUGGCAAAUGCUCCUCCGGAAGGUGAGCAGUUAAGGGCAGUCCCACCAUCUGUGAUAGAAAGAACCCAAAGCUGAACAGCCCCGUGACAGCUAUCAGAGCAUAUUUACCGACAUUCUGGCUGCUCUCUGCGGGAGAGAGCAGCCAGGUCGGUCAACAGGCGGGCUGGGAGCACUCUCACGAAUGGAGGGGGUGGAC